GAAUUCCCUCAAGCCACCGGUGGAGCAGCAGCUCUGCUGAGCGCUCCUCCAGCAGGGUGGGAGUCACAGCACCGUGUCCAGGGGGAUUUGCAGUUAUUUACAGAGGCACGAGAAGCUCUGUCCUGCAGGGCAGCGUGUGGGGCUCUGCCCUCAGUGGGAUGGUACAAACAUUAAAUACCACAAACUACCUGUGCUGGAUUUACAAUAACGUGCCAAUAUCUGUCACCUACGUUGGACAGUGUGUCCCCAGCCUGAACCAACAGAAAAAUGCCAACACCACAGUGAAACAUGGAGGGCAUGAAGAAGGAGAAAAAGGACAAGGCACACCCAAUUUCCUCCAUCUUGUCCCCUUUGGACCCCUCAUCUAGAAUCCUAAAAUUUUACUUUUGCACCCGUGUCACACUUAAUUAUUACUCUUAUCAAACACUCAAAGCUUGUAAUUCAUCCUGUAAGAUUGAAAACUCCUCUCCAUGGACAGAGAUCACAGCCAGUGUCUCUGGGGGCUCUGUCCAGGGGGGUUCCUGACCCCUGCCAGGGUCCCAGGGCAGCCAGAGGGAAGCUCUGGAUUCCCACAGGACACUGUGCGACCUCAGCGCAGGGCGUGAGGAGCACUUUGACACCCACCAGGGCUCCGCCUCAGCCUCCUGGGAGCUGCAAAAGGCGGAUUUGGUGUCAGGCCGGGUGGUUCCAGCCGGGUGAUGCUCUCGAUAGCGCAGCUGAACGCGCUCAGUGCCGCGGAACCGUCAGGGACCGUCACGAGUCAGAAGCCGCGAUUUAAUACUGCAAAUACGUGCAUCCAUCGCUGCUUAACUGCACUGCUGUGGGCUGCCACGGGCUCUGCCCGGAUAAAGCACUGGGAAAACACAGCAGGAGCUGUUGUCUCGGCGCCCUCCCUCCGGCACGACCCUGGAGCGCUGCCGGGCAUGUGAGAGCUGCGGGAAUAGAGGGAUGCUGGCACCGCUCAGCGAAACUCGCCCGAGGACUGUUCAAAUGAAAGCCAUUCCCCUCCUGGAGCAGAGAUGUUUGCCAGCACCCAGUGCAGCAGUGGGAGGAACACGUAGGUGGGAAUUAUUUGGAAGUGGCAAAAUUUGUGGACAUUAAUAAGAGACUUUAGCCCACUUUGCUGGCGUGUUUAAUAAACCACGGCGGCUCCCCGGUGACACUGCCCUGCCAAGCCCCGGCAGCUCACGCUGUUUAACCAGUUCCCCGCCGGCUCUUGCACCAUGCCGUGAGAAAGAACCCCGGGCGUGCAGAGCCGGCACACCCCGGGGCUCACCGGCCGCAGCUCCGCCUGCACACCGCCUAAUCACGGCAUCAGGGACUCCGGAACGGCUGCCUUGGAAGGGACCUUCAGUUACCCAGCUCCACCCCUGCCCUGGGCAGGGACACCUCCCACCGGGCUGCUCCAUCCAGCCCGGCCUUGGGGAUCCACAAGCCGAGAGCCACUCCAGAGGUGACAUCCUGGCUGCUGCAGGGGGCAGGGGACAGCCAGGGCUGACAGCAGCGUUUGCAGGAUGAGGAUGAUGAGGAAUCGCUUCUCCUCCCGCUGCUGGCGUUGCCUGCUGGAUGCUCUGCACAAUGGGAUCUGAUCACAUCCCUCCUCCUGCCUCACAUCAAACAGUGAGUCAGCGCUGGAGCCCCAUCAGAUGUCUCUGCCUCGGCUUUCAUAUCUGGGAAGCAGAGAGGAUGGUGCUCUGUGAGUAUGCAAAGCAAGGAAAGCAGGGUGCCUUCAGAUCUGCCACUUGGAAAAUACCACCUUAUUUAUUUUCCACUGGCACCCACGUACCCCGGCAGGAAUCAACACCACUGAGGUUCCCAGGCUGGGGAGAUGUUCUUUCGGGGGAUGCAGUGCACGUCCCUAUCGUGGAAAUACAGCCCAGGCCUGGAGAGCUGUGAACAUCUGCAGCUGCUGCCCAGAUGUGGUUGCCCGGAGCCUGAGCAGAGGUUUCAGGGGAAAACCCCCGUCUGCCUCACCCCAAAAGCCAAAACAGAGGACACGGGUUUCGCUUCGUAACCCUCGACCAAGGAGACAUUAGGUGCCUUUGAUCUCCAGAUAGAAAAAUGAUCUUUUGAUUUCAGAUUAUGAAAAUGAGGAACCAUCUGCUAAGAAACAGCUCUGGCCCCACGUUUUAUUGAGGCCAGAUGGUGUCCAGGGUUCCUACGUAUGAAUUCAAUUAGCUGCUUGUGUCUGCGUCAGUGAGUCUGGAUCCACCCAGUCAUGUUUUUGGAACAAAUAUUGUAAUAUUCCCAUGGAUCCUCCAGACAGUGGGAGGUGUUUCCUUCACUGUGAAGGUUUUGGGAAGUGGUGACUUUGUCUCAUUUUCAUCAUUUUCAUCCCUGCUCUGCAUUUCUAGUCCCUUAGUUCUUAUGCCUCAGGGUUUUCCCUGGAUCUCUGAGCCAGCUGUGCUGAGUGAAGACAUCCCUGAUUCCAGUUUGCCCAUCAGGGCUGAGGUUUCAGCCCCUGGGAACCUCUCCCAUCCACCUCUCCUGCACGGGGACUGAGUUUCAGCAUUAUUUGGAAUAUAACCCAUCUCCAACAUCAGCCAGACCUGCUUCAUUCUCCUUUCCUUGGUGGUUGCAGGGCUGUACUCGGGGUUUAGCUCUGCUGACACCAAGGCCCCUGUCGCCAGCACCUUGCAGCCUGGGAGGGUGGCACAACAGGAGACCUUGCACAGGCUGCAGGAUGUGGGAAUGAGCAGUUCCCUGAGCAGCCACCAGCCCCAGCACGGGUGGAUUCCCUGUCUGGACAGCCAGGCACUGCAGAUCCCAAUUAGCAGAUCCCAAUUAGCUCCCCUCACCUUUCCAGUCUAACAAUCUGGAAGUCCCUGCUUGGUUUUUUAUACAGGUGUGGCUCGGCACCACACGUUACCCUCAGCAAGCUGCAUAUUUGCACCAAUUUCCCUCACUACAGGGUUGGAAGGGAGAAAAUCCUGUGGUGGGAACUGGCUGGGCAGCAGCCUCAGGAGCAGCAGGUUGUGAUUUGGGGCUGGAAGGGCCUCGCUCACAGCCCACACCUUCCUCUGCAUCCUGGGAACUCACCUGCCUUGAAAAACUUUCCUGAGCAGGAAGUAUCCCUGGCAGAGGGACAGCAUUUGUUGUUUUCCCUUGAGUUUGUUGUUUUCUCUUGACUUUUUGGGUAGGAUGGGGCUGUCAAGCUCAGUUUCUGUCCACAGACACAAGCUCUGGGCACAGGGUCUGCCACUGCCCAUGCUGACAUCUCUUAUUUCAGGAUUCCUCACCCCUGAGCUGUGUUUGACUCUGCUUUUCCAUCCCUGGGAGUGCUGGGAGGUCCAUCCUCUCUCUCCCUGCCUUUCCUGCCGUGGAAUCACGCUCUGUCCAGGCAUGCUGUGCCUGGGAAUCCCCAGGGCACCUUUCCGGGCUGGCUGUGAUUACAGCCCCAUUACCAAAUUAGAGGAUUAUAAGCAUAAUAACGCACAGAGAAACUACUAAUUUCCAAUGAUUCCUCCUUUUAAAAAGAAAAUCCGAGCCCUUUAGCAGAUGGGGUUUGCAAAGAGCUCUGAAGGAGCGGCCAUGAGGGAAGAGCCACGGAGCAGAGGGAUGAGAAAAUGGAGCAGGUUCUCAUUAGGGUGCAAGGUGUGUGAUAAUUACUUGAGGAAGCACAGGGAAGACAGGGCUGGGUUCACCCUGGAUGCCACAGCCACUGCAGGCUCCUCAUGUGCAGCUGCUGCAGGGCUGGAACACGAUUUCACAGCUCUGCCCAACCCAAGCGUCCCUCACUCCUUCCUUCCUUCCCAGGAAUUCCGAGGAAUCCACACCUGAUCCCACACAGCACUUGGGGUUUUCCCUCCUCUUGGUGCUGAACUGCUCAACAGAGCUGUUAUUGUUCCAAACCCAGAUUUUAGGCAGCUGGUUCAGGUUUGACACCCCUCAGCACGGACCAGUCAGCUUUGUACCAUACUCAUCACUCUGCUCAUUCAGCCUCCACUGACAAUCUCAGCCCCACCAGAUGUCCUGGUUUUCCAACCUCACAGUCUGUGUUAUUCCAAGGACCCACCGAAGCUCCUUGGAUCUGCUGGCAGGUCCUUUGGGAUUCCCUUAGAGCAGCAGGCAGCAGCUUCAGGGCUCCCAAACCUCGAUGCAGAACCUUCCAGAAACCCUGAAUCCGCCCACCCAUCCCCAUCUCCAUCACACAUUACCAACGUCACCCCUGCAAACCACUUUGAGGAAGGUUAAGAGUUGGCUGGUUGAAGCCAAAGUUGUGACUAAUAUUUUUUGGGGAAAGUACUUGAUGUCAAAACAAGUGAGAAGUGAAGCGGAGACAUGUGGUGGAGGGAUGUGGGAAGGGAUGGAGGGGCUUUUUGGUGCCAAAUUUCCCUGUUCCCUGAAGGGAGAACCCAAGUUGCCUUAUUUCUUAAUGUAGAAAGAGGCAGAGAAGGAAAACAGAGAAGGAAAACAGAGAAGGAAAACAGAGAAGGAAAACAGAGAAGGAAAACUCCCUUCUUUACUUCUUUUAGAUCCUUGCAUUUCUAGAAAGCUGCUGAAUCACCCCUGUGAUACAGUGUCAUGGAAAAGGGUCCCCUGAUCACCACAGUGGCCACAGGCCAAGGUGCUGCUGGUUCCAGAGCUGCUGGAGCCCCUCAGUGUCACCCCAGCCCAGCGUGGGCAGGAGCUGCCACAGCCCCCAGCAGUCCCUUUGCCCCUCAUGGCUCCUUCCCACAGCCACAGGCUGCAGGUUUCAGCUUUUCCAAGCUUUUUUCCAGCCAGAGCAAGGUAUGCAGGCAUGCAAACACCUGGAAGAACAGUCAGUGGGGUCCAGCCCCAGGGCCAGCAGCACACCCAGGCUCACUGCUCAGGAGCCAGCCGGGCUCAGGUGUGUUACCUGGAAACGUCUGGGUCCUGUGACCUGGGAGGAGAAAUAAAACCAAUUCUUUUCAGUC
ensembl:lncRNA